CGCAAUGGUUAUAACAAGUCCAGUUUCGGACGUGGGCCAUUCAACAAACCGAAAUUCUUUACACUCGGACGACGACUUUCAGAUGCCGAGAAAGUCGCCACGAUUAACCAACGAAUAUAUUGGUGAAAAGGAUCUGAAUUUAGAAGGCCUGGAUGAUCAAACGUCAGGGAAUGGGAGACCUGACCGAAAGAUAACAAGGAAAACCCUCAGGCUUCAUAGCAAAGAUGACCAAACUGAGGGGUCCCCCAGACCAGGGGGAUCUAAGGAAGUUGUGCGCCGCAGCACCAGAAACACCCCAUCCCAACACGCCAAAGAGUAUGACCGCCUCAUCACUAACACGACUGAGGCAGACCUCCAGAAGACCGAAGGCAUUAAGGAGACGAACAGCUACUUGAAAGACUCCAAACAAGCAGUGAGGCCUUUUUCCCGUUCUGUGAAAUAUGAUUGUCAUGGAGGACAAGGUAGUAUUUAUGUCUGAAUAUCUAGC
ensembl:lncRNA